GAUUAAUUAGAUUUAUUUAGGUGUGAAAUGCUAUUCGUUUUUGUUUAUAUCUAGUAACUUUAGAAAUAAAUUUAGUUUAGGUUAUUAAGAAGUAGUUGCUUUUUUUAAAAUCUUAUAUUUUAAGGGAUAAGCUUUAAAAUUAAUUUAUAAGGAAAGAAAUAUUUUUGAUUUUUUAGUAGGCUUGGAAUUGGCCAUAAGAUAGUGUUAUAAGAUAAAAGGUUAGAAGUAGGAUUUAUUAUUCUUUUGGGGUUAUAAAGUUAAUUAUAAAAUUAUAUGAUUAUUGAAAAUAUGAUAGCAUAAGUAGAAAAAAAAUGGAAUUUUUUUUUGUAUUAAAUAGUUAAUAAAAGUUAUAGUAAAAGAACUCGGCAAAUAGGAUUUCCGAAUGUUUAACAAAAACAUUUCUUCUUACAGAAGGGAAGUAAGACCUGCUCACUGAGUAUUUAAAGAGCCGCAGUAUUUUGACUGUGCUAAGGUAGCAUAAUCAUUAGUCUUUUAAUUGGGGACUGGUAUGAAUGGUUUAACGAGAAAUCAACUUUUUUUAUUAUAAGAAUUGAAUUUAAUUUUUUAGUGAAAAAGCUAAAAUUAUUCAGAAAGACGAGAAGACCCUAUAGAGUUUUAUAUUUAAAAGAAAUUUUUUCGUUUAGGUUUUUUAGGAAGAAUUUUUUUUAUGGUAUUUAGUUGGGGCGACGUUUAGAUAAGGAAAACUCUUUAUUAAUAAAACUUUAAUAAAAGUAUAGUAUGAUCCUAUAAUAAAGAUUAAAAGAAAAAAUUACCUUAGGGAUAACAGCGUAAUCUUUUUUGAGAGUUCUAAUCGACAAAAAGGUUUGCGACCU
rnacentral:rRNA from 1 species